rnacentral:rRNA from 1 species
CAACUCGCCUACAUGAAGUUGGAAUCGCUAGUAAUCGCGAAUCAGAAUGUCGCGGUGAAUACGUUCCCGGGUCUUGUACACACCGCCCGUCACACCACGAGAGUUUACAACACCCGAAGUCAGUGGCCUAACCGCAAGGAGGGAGCUGCCUAAGGUGGGGUANAUGAUUGGGGUGAAGUCGUAACAAGGUAGC